UUGUAAGAUAAAAUUAGAUAAUUAAAAAAUAAAUGGAAUCAUAAAAUUUAAAUAAUUUGGCGGUAUUUUAAAAAGUUAGAGGAAUUUGUUCUAUAAAUGAUAAUCCACGAUAGGAGGGUCUUAAUAAAAGUCUUAUGUAUUGUUGUUUAAAAAUUAUUUUAAAAGAAUUAUAAUUAUUAAAUUUAAUAAAGUUUGAAUUCAAAUCAAAAUGUAGAGUUGUUAAGUAAGAAUGAGUUACAUUUUAGUAGAAAAAGAGUAUUUUAAAAAUUUUAAGUAUUUUGAGUAUGGAUUUAAUAGUAAAUUUAAUAAAUUUAUUAGGUUGAAAGUUAAAU
rnacentral:rRNA from 1 species